CGGGGCUUCCACGUUCUUCCUCCAGUCCGCAAAAGAAGCUUCCCAAGAGUAACUCUUCCGCCCGGAGUGGGGGGCAAGGGUGUGCCCGCCCCUGCCUGGGGGAGGGGCGCUUCUCAUUCCGCUCAUCACCUUUUACUUCCCAGUCCUCCUAGUCUUCGCUCUGUGCGAGAUGGAGGGUGUGGGGGGGUGGUCUCCAUCUUCCUUGCCCUACGGCGGCCCCCUUCCCAUUCUGUGUCUCCGCCUCUAGCUCCAGUCACCUGGGCGGGCUCUCUCCUCCCUCGGCCUCGUGCCACCUCCCCCUUGCACCCGCCCGGCUCUCUUUCGGGCGAGGUGGGGCGGGGCUUUCCCGGGACUCCUCCCACCACCCCCCCCUCCGUGGUGGUGGGGAGGGGCGGAAGGCGAGGUGUGAGGUUCUGCAGAUUAGAGCCAAACGUUGGCGCGCCCGCCAACCUUCGUGGGAUCCUGUUAACGAGGUAAUGAGACUUAAUAGAGGAGGAGUCUGGUAGAAUGAGCCACUUGUUAGUUUGAAGUGAUUGAGGUAAGUUGGUUUCUUACCAAAUUAUUUAUGUUGUUUCUGUCAUGGUUAUGGACAGUAAUAGACUGCUGCUAUACAGGAUCUCACAUGUCAUACUAAUUAUUAGGUAAAUUUUAUUUGAAGCUCCAAAUUUGUGUUUUUCCCCAGUGUGUGUGUCUGUGUUUUAAAUAAAGAUUGCGUACAAGUAUCUGUUUCAGAAUCGUAACCUUAUGGGAUCUCUCCUUACCGUGAACUUUUUUUAGGCUUUGGGAUAGUUUUUAAGCUAACAGGCUAUACAGUACUGUGUAUUACAAAAAGACAGAUUUUAUGGUUUAAUUCAAAAGUUACAAAAGGUAACAAAAUAGUGGGACAGUGGUAGAGCUAGGAUAGUGAUACAGUGAAAAAUCUUUCUUCUACCUUUAUCCUUCAGAAAGUCAGUUACCUGCCCAAAAGUAAUAUUUUAUGUUUCUUAGGUAUUCUUCCAGGGACAGACAGACAGACACACACACACACAAACUGUGGUUUUAUCACUUGACAAUAUACUGAGAGUUGGUCCAUAUAGGAAAGGAAAUGCUUCUUAGUAUUCUUCUGCUUUUUAACUAGGAAAAAAUUCAAGUAUAUUAAAAAGUUGAGAGAAUAGUAAAAUGAAUACUUGUUUAUCCAUCUAGAGUCAGCAGUUGUUAUUAUUUUGCCUCGUAUAUGUGGUAUAUAUUUUGUGGAACUAUUUGAAAAUAAGUUGCAGGUGCAGCACCCCUAAAUACUUCGGCAGGCAUCCUUUGGGAUAAAGGAUUUUCUACUUUUUGUCGUCUUUGUGUGGCUUGAGAGAUCUUAGUUCCCUAACCAGGGAUUGAACCCAGGGCCCUGGUAGGUAGAGUCCUAACCAUUGAACCACCAGUAAAUUCCCUCUACAUAUCUUUUGUAGAGCUUUAUAUUAUUCCAUUUUAUGGACAGGAUUAUUGUUUAACUCUCACAACAACCAUUUCCCUUUUACAGAUAAGGAAAUUGAGGUUUGGAGAAGUUAAGUAACUUGACCAAGAUCUCACAGGUAUGUUGGCAGAGUUGGGAUUUGAAUGCUUGAACCCCUUUUCUACCAAGUACCAGUUGAAUGGCCUUGGGGACCUCUCUAAGCCCCUUUCCUCAUCUGUAAAAUGACAAUAUGGCAGUAAAAUUUCAGGGUAAUAAUCAAGUGUCUAUCUCAUACUAAUAUUUAGUGAUUGAUAACUGUUGUAUCAUUAUUAGACUGGCCAUAAAUUCUUCAUACCACUUGAAGAACUCACUUUGAAACAUGGAAUUAGUAAUGUACCUUCACUGUCUUGUCCAUAACAAGAUGGCUACACCUUUUGCAUUUUGUUAAU
rnacentral:lncRNA from 1 species